rnacentral:ribozyme from 13 species
AAAAGAGAGAAGGGAAUAGAGAGGUCUUUGCGGUAUAGAGAGAGAAAGGUUUUGGAAGAGAAAGUCAGGCUUCUUUCUUCUCUUUCUUCUUCCCCUUUGCUUUUUUCUCUUUCUUCUCUUUCUUC